UCGGAGUUAGUGGCGGACGGGUGAGUAACACGUGGGAACGUGCCUUUAGGUUCGGAAUAACUCAGGGAAACUUGUGCUAAUACCGAAUGUGCCCUUCGGGGGAAAGAUUUAUCGCCUUUAGAGCGGCCCGCGUCUGAUUAGCUUGUUGGUGGGGUAAUGGCCCACCAAGGCGACGAUCAGUAGCUGGUCUGAGAGGAUGACCAGCCACAUUGGGACUGAGACACGGCCCAAACUCCUACGGGAGGCAGCAGUGGGGAAUCUUGCGCAAUGGGCGAAAGCCUGACGCAGCCAUGCCGCGUGGAUGAUGAAGGUCUUAGGAUUGUAAAAUCCUUUCACCGGUGAAGAUAAUGACUGUAGCCGGAGAAGAAGCCCCGGCUAACUUCGUGCCAGCAGCCGCGGUAAUACGAAGGGGGCUAGCGUUGCUCGGAAUUACUGGGCGUAAAGGGAGCGUAGGCGGACAUUUAAGUCAGGGGUGAAAUCCCGAGGCUCAACCUCGGAACUGCCUUUGAUACUGGGUGUCUUGAGUGUGAGAGAGGUGAGUGGAACUCCGAGUGUAGAGGUGAAAUUCGUAGAUAUUCGGAAGAACACCAGUGGCGAAGGCGACUCACUGGCUCAUUACUGACGCUGAGGCUCGAAAGCGUGGGGAGCAAACAGGAUUAGAUACCCUGGUAGUCCACGCCGUAAACGAUGAUUGCUAGUUGUCGGGGAGCUUGCUCUUCG
rnacentral:rRNA from 1 species